CCCAUGCAGUAUUCGACAACUUGGCAACUCGCACAAGACCCCUAGACCCUCUUAGUAUAAAUACCUCGAACGAAACCCGAGGAAAGAGCAUAGAUUCGCAGCCAAGAAAUAAUGCUGUAUAAAAUAUUGAUUCUUCAUCUCCUCGCGUAAGUCACCUGUAAAAGGAUGUUGCUUAUCGUCAGUCACCAAGUCAUUCUGAUGGAUCCUCGAUAGGUUAGUAAAAAGGAUAAACUCGCACAUGUACGUGUGUGUGUGUGUGUGCGUGCGUGUGCGUGUGCGUGUGCAUGUGCUAAAGGCAAGAUUUUUAUGCCGGUGUACGAGCAUUGGUAUGAUGUUACUCUUCACUGAGGACCUGAUUGUCACUGCAGUACACAUGGAUAGAGUUUCACAUCCUGAUGAGAAAUAGAUGUAUGUUUUCCAUCUUUUACCAAGCAGAGCAGCAAAGAGGUAAAUAAAACAAUUUCCUCUUAA